rnacentral:lncRNA from 1 species
ACACGAGACACGACACGACUAGAAUAUGGUAACUCGGUAGCUUUCAAAAAAUUAGAACACGGACACGACAUGGACAUCGCUAAUUGCAAUGAUCUCGUUUGUAAUAAUAUUUGUUGUUUCAAAAAAAAAUCAAGUUCCAGUAGUAAAAGAAUAGGGAUUGUUCUCAUCAAGAACCAACAAUUAAUAUAUUUCGUUCGAAUAACCUGUUAGGAUUUGAUUAGAUUUAUAGUCAAAUUCUGGUAAUAUUAGAAUAAAUAUUUAAAUAUAUUAGAGAUAAAUCGAAUGAGAUUAAAUAUCAAUUAGAGUACAAAUC